GACGAACGCUGGCGGCGUGCUUAACACAUGCAAGUCGAACGGAAAGGCCCUGCUUUUGUGGGGUGCUCGAGUGGCGAACGGGUGAGUAACACGUGAGUAACCUGCCCUUGACUUUGGGAUAACUUCAGGAAACUGGGGCUAAUACCGGAUAGGAGCUCCUGCUGCAUGGUGGGGGUUGGAAAGUUUCGGCUGUUGGGGAUGGACUCGCGGCUUAUCAGCUUGUUGGUGGGGUAGUGGCUUACCAAGGCUUUGACGGGUAGCCGGCCUGAGAGGGUGACCGGCCACAUUGGGACUGAGAUACGGCCCAGACUGCUACGGGAGGCAGCAGUGGGGAAUAUUGCACAAUGGGCGGAAGCCUGAUGCAGCAACGCCGCGUGCGGGAUGACGGCCUUCGGGUUGUAAACCGCUUUCGCCUGUGACGAAGCGUGAGUGACGGUAAUGGGUAAAGAAGCACCGGCUAACUACGUG
rnacentral:rRNA from 1 species